rnacentral:tRNA from 1 species
AGUGGAAUGACUGAAUAAUAAGUGAAUGACUGUAAAUCAUUACAUGGUUAAUUUAACAAACCCAACCUUCCACUA